ensembl:snoRNA
GUGUGAGAUGGUAUACGGUCUUUCUGGACUGACUUGUUAUGGAGAUGAUUUUUUUUUUUUUUUUUAACUGAUCAUAC